CGGACGGGUGAGUAACGCGUGGAAAACCCUGCCGUAUACGUGGGGGAUAACACUUAGAAAUAGGUGCUAAUACCGCAUAAGCGCACAGCUUCGCAUGAAGCGGUGUGAAAAAACUCUGGUGGUAUACGAUGGUUCCGCGUCUGAUUAGCUAGUUGGUGGGGUAAGUAGGCCCUACCAAGGCAACGAUCAGUAGCCGGCCUGAGAGGGUGAACGGCCACAUUGGGACUGAGACACGGCCCAAACUCCUACGGAAGGCAGCAG
rnacentral:rRNA from 1 species